AUUGAACGCUGGCGGCAUGCCUUACACAUGCAAGUCGAACGGUAACAGGUUAAGCUGACGAGUGGCGAACGGGUGAGUAAUAUAUCGGAACGUGCCCAGUAGUGGGGGAUAGCCCGGCGAAAGCCGGAUUAAUACCGCAUACGACCUACGGGUGAAAGGGGGGGAUCGCAAGACCUCUCGCGCUUGGAGCGGCCGAUAUCAGAUUAGGUAGUUGGUGGGGUAAAGGCCUACCAAGCCUGCGAUCUGUAGUUGGUCUGAGAGGACGACCAGCCACACUGGGACUGAGACACGGCCCAGACUCCUACGGGAGGCAGCAGUGGGGAAUUUUGGACAAUGGGCGCAAGCCUGAUCCAGCAAUGCCGCGUGCAGGAAGAAGGCCUUCGGGUUGUAAACUGCUUUUGUCAGGGAAGAAAUCCUCUGGGUUAAUACCUCGGGGGGAUGACGGUACCUGAAGAAUAAGCACCGGCUAACUACGUGCCAGCAGCCGCUGUAACAC
rnacentral:rRNA from 1 species